CCUACCCUCUCAGUCCUCCCAUCUUCAAUUCUCUGAACCUGUACCUUUCUUUCACGAAAGCCGGCCACCAAGGGUAAGACGGAUUUGUAAUCUCGAAAUUCUGCCGCGUUCACCACCGUCUCACCACCUUCCGAUGGAGAUCCAAUUGGGUUCAACUACCACCGUUUCUCACCAAUCGCGUUUCUCACCACCACCACCACCGCCCGUUUUUCUUCAAAUUUAAGUGAAUUUAUGCACUACGGAGGUAUAUAUCUCUAUUCAAUUUAAGAUUCGGCUUAUUCAAUUUUUGUAAAAUUGAAUUAACUAUUUUCCCCCAAAUUUUAGGGUUUUGGCUCCAUUUUAUUUUUUAAUCGAAAGAGGGAACGAUCUACUAAGCUAGGGUUUCCUUUUUUCCUCUUUCGUUCAGAAUUAGGGAUUUGAGGACGCUUAAUUAUCAGGAUUUCAUCCGCAAACUCUGCACUUAGAUUUUGGGAUAUGGGUUGAGGUUGAUUCUUUUUGGUUAUGCUACUGCUCUUUAAGUAUAGGCAUCGCAAAGCAAAUGGAGAGGCGUCGAGAUUAGGUUUCAGAAAUUGAUGGUGUUUUUAAUGAUUAAAUAAGACAGCUGGUGUUGGAAAUGCUGCUGGAGUUGGAACUCAUUCCUGUACUGAAUGUGUUUCUGAAUGUGCUGCUAAAUGUGGAUUUCUGAUUGGAAGAACUGUGGCUGUUUUGAUAACUAUGACGAUUGGGACCUCGAUGGCUGCUCGUCAAGGUCCUCUAGCUAUGGCUGCUCAUCAAAUCUGUAUGCAAGUGUGG